UCAUUUUGCUCAGUGCAGAGUGGCCAAAAGCAAGUUGUAUUGGGAAAAAGAGAAAAAGAGAGGAGAGAAAGAAGGAAAGAAAAGAGAAAGAGAAAAAAAGGGAAGAAAAAAAACGAAAAAAAAAAAAGAGAAGAAAAAGAGAAAGAAAAAGAAAGGAGAAAAAAAAAGGCGGUGGGGGAAGGAAACAAAUCAAAAAGCAAAACAAAACAAAAAAACAAACAAACAAAAAAAAAAAAAGAAAAGAAAAGAACCAUCGGGGAGUAUCUUCUGAUUCUGUGUACUUUAAGUCCCUUGGCUUCUCCUGGAAGUUGUCAGUCUAGCUGGUGUUCUGGGGGAGGGGCCUGUUGUGCUGAUUUUCAGGUGUUAGCAGUUGGGGGAGCUGCUCUGCCCCUGCCUGGUGCAGGGCUCAGUGGGGGUUGUUCACCCCGUGAGGCCGCAGGAGGAACAGCCCCAGUGGCGGGGCAGCUCUGGAAACCUGGAUUCAGCUCCGGCAGGAACUCCGUCUGCAGGGCCUGGAGGCUCCGGGGCGGGGCCGCUGAUCUGCUCAUCUGGGGCAGGAGCGUCCUCGCUGUCCUGGGCCCUCCAGGCCUCUGCCUGUCCCGGGGGAGGCCGGAUCCUGGGCUGUGUCCCGGCGCCCUGUGCUCUGGAGCCUGCGCUGUUGGAUUCGCGCUCCCGCCCCGCAGCCCCCUCCGCGGAGCUGCCGCCCGAGCCCCUCCGAGCUGCUCCUGGAACCGCGCAGGCCCCUCCGCACGGAGCCUCUUCCUCUGCCCGAGCCCCUCCGAGCUGCUCCGGGUCCCGUCGGGUCCCGCCGUGCGCGCUGCAGCCCUUAGGGAGCUCGGCGCACUCUCCGGGGCGCAGGUGCCUGUUAGGUGCCCCGGCCUCAGCCCGGCUCCUCGCGGGGCCUCUCCCCCUUGGAGGCCUUUGUUUCUUUAUUUCUUUUUCCCCCGUCUUCCUACCUUGAUAGAAGCGCGAACUCUUCUCACUGUCGCAUUCCAGGUGGUCUCUCUUUAA
rnacentral:lncRNA from 1 species